UACGGAGGGUGCGAGCGUUGUCCGGAAUCAUUGGGCGUAAAGGGCGCGUAGGUGGCCCGGUCAGCGUGCGGUGAAAGCUCGGGGCUCAACCCCGAGUCGGCCGUGCGAACUGCUGGGCUCGAGCACUGUAGAGGCAGGCGGAAUUCCGGGGUGUAGCGGUGGAAUGCGUAGAGAUCCGGAAGAACACCGGUGGCGAAGGCGGCCUGCUGGGCAGUGGCUGACACUGAGGCGCGACAGCGUGGGGAGCAAACAGG
rnacentral:rRNA from 1 species